CCUACGGGAGGCAGCAGUGGGGAAUAUUGGUCAAUGGGCGAAAGCCUGAUCCAGCGACGCCGCGUGAGGGAUGAAGGCCCUCGGGAUGUAAAGCUCUUUUAGCAGGGAAGAAAUGGUCGGUACCUGUCCAAGAAGGGCCGGUAACCUACGAGCAAGCAGCGGCGGGAAUACGUGGGGGGCAAGCGUUAUUCGGAUUUAAUGGGGGUAAAGGGGGGGUUGUGGGGGCUGCAAGGCCGGAGUGAAAGCGACGGGGUUAAACAUUGUACUGCAGUGGUAACUGCGGGGCUUGAGUGCGCGAGGGGUAGGCGGAAUUCGUGGUGUAGCGGUGAAAUGCGUAGAUAUUAGGCAGAACCCCGAUGGCGAAGGCAGCCUACUGGAGCGUAACUGACGCUGAGGCACGAAAGCGUGGGGAGCAAACAGGAUUAGAUACCCUGGUAGUC
rnacentral:rRNA from 1 species